CCUACGGGAGGCAGCAGUGGGGAAUAUUGCACAAUGGACGAAAGUCUGACGCAGCAACGCCGCGUGAGGGAUGACGGCCUUCGGGUUGUAAACCUCUUUCAGCAGGGACGAAGCGAGAGUGACGGUACCUGCAGAAGAAGGACCGGCCAACUACGUGCCAGCAGCCGCGGUAAUACGUAGGGUCCGAGCGUUGUCCGGAAUUAUUGGGCGUAAAGGGCUCGUAGGCGGUUCGUCACGUCGGGAGUGAAAACUCGGAGCUUAACUCCGAGCCUGCUUCCGAUACGGGCAGACUAGAGGUAGGCAGGGGAGAGCGGAACUCCUGGUGUAGCGGUGGAAUGCGCGGAUAUCAGGAAGAACACCGGUGGCGAAGGCGGCUCUCUGGGCCUUACCUGACGCUGAGGAGCGAAAGCGUGGGUAGCGAACAGGAUUAGAUACCCUGGUAGUCCACGCCGUAAACGUUGGGCGCUAGGUGUGGGGGACAUUCCACGUCCUCCGUGCCGCAGCUAACGCAUUAAGCGCCCCGCCUGGGGAGUACGGCCGCAAGGCUAAAACUCAAAGGAAUUGACGGGGGCCCGCACAAGCGGCGGAGCAUGCGGAUUAAUUCGAUGCAAUGCGAAGAACCUUACCUGGGUUUGACAUAUAGGGAAAUCCUCCAGAGAUGGGGGGUCCGUAAGGGUCCUAUACAGGUGGUGCAUGGCUGUCGUCAGCUCGUGUCGCGAGAUGUUGGGUUAAGUCCCGCAACGAGCGCAACCCUCGUCCUAUGUUGCCAGCACGUUAUGGUGGGGACCCAUAGGAGACUGCCGGGGUCAACUCGGAGGAAGGUGGGGAUGACGUCAAGUCAUCAUGCCCCUUAUGUCCAGGGCUUCACGCAUGCUACAAUGGCCGGUACAAAGGGCUGC
rnacentral:rRNA from 1 species